rnacentral:rRNA from 1 species
AUUGAACGCUGGCGGCAGGCCUAACACAUGCAAGUCGAGCGAGCGGCGGACGGGUGAGUAAUGUAUGGGGACUGCCCGAUAGAGGGGGAUAACUACUGGAAACGGUAGCUACUACCGCAUACUAUCCGAUAACCCAUAUGGGAUUGGCUAGUAGGUGGGGUAAUGGCUCACUUAGGCGACGAUCCCUAGCUGGUCUGAGAGGAUGAUCAUCCACACUGGAACUGAGACACGGUCCAGACUCCUACGGAGGCAGCAGUGGGGAAUAUUGCACAAGGGGCGAAAGCCUGAUGCAGCCAGGCCGCGGGGGUGAAGAAGGCCUUCGGGUUGUAAAGCACUUUCAGCGGGGAGGCGUUACUCGCAGAAGAAGCACCGGCUAACUCCGUGCCAGCAGCCGCGGUAAUAC